rnacentral:sRNA from 1 species
GUGAACUUUCGUUUGCAGUGAAAAUCCUUUUUGUUUUUUCUUUAAAAAUAAAAAGAUUGCAACGAAAAGCGGUAACAAUG